rnacentral:rRNA from 1 species
AUUGAACGCUGGCGGCAGGCCUAACACAUGCAAGUCGAACGGUAACAGGAAGCAGCCUGCUGCUUUGCUGACGAGUGGCGGACGGGUGAGUAAUGUCUGGGAAACUGCCUGAUGGAGGGGGAUAACUACUGGAAACGGUAGCUAAUACCGCAUAACGUCGCAAGACCAAAGAGGGGGACCUUCGGGCCUCUUGCCAUCGGAUGUGCCCAGAUGGGAUUAGCUAGUAGGUGGGGUAAAGGCUCACCUAGGCGACGAUCCCUAGCUGGUCUGAGAGGAUGACCAGCCACACUGGAACUGAGACACGGUCCAGACUCCUACGGGAGGCAGCAGUGGGGAAUAUUGCACAAUGGGCGCAAGCCUGAUGCAGCCAUGCCGCGUGUAUGAAGAAGGCCUUCGGGUUGUAAAGUACUUUCAGCGGGGAGGAAGGGAGUAAAGUUAAUACCUUUGCUCAUUGACGUUACCCGCAGAAGAAGCACCGGCUAACUCCGUG